UGUCCACGGCUUCAAGGUUCAAAUUUUCAAAAUUAAGGUUUCAUCGUUGUUAUCUGUGUUGUUUGUUUUGUUACUACAAUACCGAGGAGGAGAAUCACUGGGCAACGAUUAUCUUCGCAAAGCAUUCUCAGUGUUUAGUAGUCCAGAGACGAGAGACAUCGGACAGCGAAGAUUAUCGCCCAGCCCGGAGAUCGAAGUCCACUAGGAGGGGUCAAUUUCAUGAAUGGCGAAACCAUCGGCCGGGCUCAUAAUGGACAACACAUCAUUUUGCCCUUUAACUCCAAGAUCCCAUGUGAUAGACCCAGAAACAGGUGGGAUGCCGACGCAAAUGUCUUCCAGUGGAACGAGUUUCCAGCGCACUUCUCAUCUGAGAUGAAAAAACAAACAAACAGAAAUUGACCGUUGGCAGUGCAAACCGGAAUCAUGGCGCUGGCAA